rnacentral:rRNA from 1 species
UGGGGAAUAUUGGACAAUGGGCGCAAGCCUGAUCCAGCAAUGCCGCGUGUGUGAAGAAGGCCUUCGGGUUGUAAAGCACUUUUAUCAGGAGCGAAACGCUGUCGGCUAAUACCCGGCGGAACUGACGGUACCUGAGGAAUAAGCACCGGCUAACUUCGUGCCAGCAGCCGCGGUAAUACGAAGGGUGCAAGCGUUAAUCGGAAUUACUGGGCGUAAAGCGUGCGUAGGCGGUUUCUUAAGUCUGCUGUGAAAUCCCCGGGCUCAACCUGGGAAUGGCAGUGGAUACUGGGAGGCUAGAGUGUGUCAGAGGGUGGUGGAAUUCCCGGUGUAGCGGUGAAAUGCGUAGAGAUCGGGAGGAACAUCAGUGGCGAAGGCGGCCACCUGGGACAACACUGACGCUGAGGCACGAAAGCGUGGGGAGCAAACAGGAUUAGAUACCCUGGUAGUCCACGCCCUAAACGAUGCGAACUGGAUGUUGGUCUCAACUCGGAGAUCAGUGUCGAAGCUAACGCGUUAAGUUCGCCGCCUGGGGAGUACGGUCGCAAGACUGAAACUCAAAGGAAUUGACGGGGUCA